UGGAGCAUGUGGUUUAAUUCGACGCAACGCGAAGAACCUUACCAGGGCUUGACAUCCCCUGACCGCGUAUGAAAGUACGAAUUCACCUUCGGGUGACAGGGAGACAGGUGGUGCAUGGUUGUCGUCAGCUCGUGUCGUGAGAUGUUGGGUUAAGUCCCGCAACGAGCGCAACCCCUACGUUUAGUUGCUAACGCGUGAAGGCGAGCACUCUAGACGAACUGCCGUUGACAAAACGGAGGAAGGUGGGGAUGACGUCAAAUCAUCAUGCCCCUCAUGUUCUGGGCUACACACGUGCUACAAUGGCCGGUACAGACGGACGCAAAGCCGCGAGGUGGAGCAAAUCCUAAAAAGCCGGUCUCAGUUCGGAUUGCAGGCUGCAAUUCGCCUGCAUGAAGUCGGAAUCGCUAGUAAUCGCAGGUCAGCAUACUGCGGUGAAUACGUUCCCGGGCCUU
rnacentral:rRNA from 1 species